rnacentral:rRNA from 1 species
CGUAGGUGGCAAGCGUUGUCCGGAAUUAUUGGGCGUAAAGCGCGCGCAGGCGGUUCCUUAAGUCUGAUGUGAAAGCCCCCGGCUCAACCGGGGAAGGUCAUUGGAAACUGGGGAACUUGAGUGCAGAAGAGAAGAGCGGAAUUCCACGUGUAGCGGUGAAAUGCGUAGAGAUGUGGAGGAACACCAGUGGCGAAGGCGGCUCUUUGGUCUGUAACUGACGCUGAGGCGCGAAAGCGUGGGGAGCAAACAGGAUUAGAUAUCCUGGUAGUCCACGCCGUAAACGAUGAGUGCUAAGUGUUAGAGGGUUUCCGCCCUUUAGUGCUGCAGCUAACGCAUUAAGCACUCCGCCUGGGGAUACGGCCGCAAGGCUG